GUUAAUAAAUUGUUGAUUGUUUGUGGGACCCACCCAUUAAUUAAAUUCUGCCCUAUGUUUUCACUCCAUCAAACCCUACAACGAUCUCUAUUUUAUGACCUGGAGAAUGAAGCCAAGAGAGGAUGAAGAAGGGUUUGUGAGGGUUGUUGCCGCCUCUCUUAGCCAAUGAUUUCGAUCAUCCUCUUUGAAAUUCCAACAACCCUCUUUUACAUAUCUACAUAUACAUAUACAUAUGUAUGUGUGAGGAUAGAUAUAGAGAGAGACAAAAAAAUAUCUAUGAAAACAACUAUUUUUCUAGAUCCCAAACCAAACCCUGCAACAAUUAUUCAUCCAUAACCACCUGCAAUAAUUAGUAGAGGUAAUCCUCAAACCAAAACUACUACCGUCGUCUCCUCUCGAGGUUGGCACUACUAGUCCGGCUCCACCUCAGUCGUCUUCUAUCCACGUCCCCAACCAUCAAGGGCUACCAGACAUCGCCAGUGCUGUGAAGGUUCACCAGAGAUCGCUCGAAGAGGUGGUCGGAUUCCCUUGACUCUCUCUAUAUGAAGAAUGUGUGUCUGCGAAAAAGAAUGUAUGAUAUGAGGGCUAGCUUAUAAUGGGGUAUUUAAAUCCUUUAAUUUGGGUAUAGAUUUUGAUGGAUUUUUGUGGGACUGGGUAUUGGUGGUUUUAUGGGAUUUUGAGGGAAAAAUCAAGAAUAUUUGGUUAUUUUGGAGUGGUGAUGAUUGAUGAAACAGAGGUGGUGGUUGAUUUUGGGGUGGUGAUGAAACAGGUGUGGCGGAGAAAGGAUGAUGGUGGGAGUGGUGGUUUAAAGACGUGGGUGGCCGAUGAUGGUUUAAGGAGGUGGUGGUUUUAGGAGGUUAGGUGUGGUGGUUUAAGACGAAGAAGUGGAAGAUCAUUCCACAAAAUCUUUCAAGUUAUGGUUAGAGCACCGCUAGCACAAUAUAAAGUAAAGAACAAACAAAAGCAAAAGAGUAAAUGGAAUGGAUGAUUACUAUAGCCGGUCAUCCUUUUUAGUGACGAAUCUUUCAAGAAUCAUAGAUCAUUCCACAAAAUUUGCAGAUAUGGAUCCCUUGCACAACAGUCCUUCAUUUUUAAAGCUUAUUGAGGAAGAUGACCCUAUAUUUUUGCAAAUACCUAAUGACUUUGCUUCAAUGAUUUGGGGAGACCAACCACCUUACAAUGAUUCAGUUAAGAUUGUUGAUGGUAACAAGUUAUGGUUUGUAAGAGUGAAAAAAACUGAUGUGAGCCCUGUUCUUGCUGAUGGCUUCACCAAAGUUGUUCGGGAUAGUUGUAUAAGAAAAGAGGACUACCUUAUGUUUCAGUCAUAUGGACCAUCAUCAUUCUUUCUAAUGGUGUUUAAAUCAUUUGUUCAUAAAAACUGCUUUAUAUCCAAGAUCACUCCUUACGAAGAUGUUAUUUCAUGGCUGAUGAAUUUUGGAGGCAAUUUUAUGGUAAAAAUUUCAAAGGUGGUCAGUCAACUCUUUAUUUAUGAGAUAGAUUUUGGAACGUUAAAAUCGACGGAUUAACGGACAACUGUGUUUUUACUCAUGGAUGUUCUGAGAUGAUAAGCGAUCUUGCCUUAGGCAGGCGAUCUACCUUUGUCUUUUCACUGCAUGGAAAUAAAAUUUUCGAGCUUUCAGUCUUUAAUCAUCAAACCGGUACUCAAACUACAACAGGGUUGAGUUAGUUGUUUUGGAUGACUCAAUCUAUGGUGAUGAUGGUGAUGAUUUUCUUAUUGCGUCCGAACAUAAGGAGAAGUGUAGUAGUGCUGGAACUGACUUUCAAGAAGGUGUUGUUGUGGAAUGUGAAGACGACAAAUUUCAGUUGGCAAGUUUUGAAGCUGUGUUCAAUGAUAUUGAUGAUUCCAAGUUUGAUAACUUUUUCUCAUCUCUACUUGAAGUGAAAGACCUUAAGAAGAAGUUCAAAGAUGAUUGGGAUACAAAAACUGAACCGCAAGACAAAGCAAGUGUUGUUUGUGAUGAAGAUUUAACUUUAAAGGAUGAUCCCAAGGCGAAAACAAUUGUUGUUGUUGAUAAAAAUCUAAGUUUAAAGGACAAAAGCAAGUUUGAGACGGAUCUGGACAAAUUUUUGAUACCUGAGAAUAAGUCCCAUGUUGAUCCUACAGGGAAAACAAAUGUUCUUUUUUCUGAACCGAGUCUGUGCUCCACAGUUGUUUCUGAUGCCAUUCCGAAAUAUACAGUUGAUGUUGGUCAAAGUGUUUUGCCGAGAAAGAGGAAGGCCACUCGGAAAUGUAAACACAGUUACGAUUGUGUCCGAUGAGUCUCUUAUCGCACAUCGUACACGUUCAAAGUUUAGAAACAAAAAUGAAUCUGUUGUUGUUGAUAAGAUCACGGCUGCUGAAACCGCAUCUGUUAGUCGUAAACGUUCUACAUUGAAAAGGUCGAAGACAGUUGCAAUCAUUGAGUUCACUAAAGUUGCAGAAAACAGAAUGCGUUUACCGUCUGCUGUUUCCGAGGAUUUGUGUCUUUCUAUUCACAACCUCCGUGAUGUUUCGCUCCAAAACCUUAGAUGUGAGGUAACAAACAUGAAGACUAUAGCGGAAAAGAAUGGAAAUGGUUACAUGUAUGGUUUUUCCAAGUGGUCGGCUUUCUUGAAAUCAAAUCAAAUCCACAUCGGCGCUACUCUUUUCUUUAAAUAUGUCAAGGCUUCGCAGCUUUUGAUUUUGACCAAGUUGUUCACAAGACGACAAAGAAAAGAGGCCGUGCGUGACUGUUUUCAUUUGUGGUUGUUAGUAGGUUUUGUAUAUGUUUUGGUGAUGUGUUGGUUAUUAGUUAAUAGUCGGUUGACAAUUGGUUGCAUAUUUUGUGAUUGGUCUUAGUAUGGUCCAAGUCUGAUGUUAGUUAUUUUGUUGUUUGGACAAUUAGUACUUAAA